rnacentral:lncRNA from 1 species
CCUCAAGGACAUGAGCCAGAAACCCAGGUGAAAGGCAGCCCCCAACACAGGUGUUAAACCAGCCAGCUCCAGUCCAAGGUGGAAUAGAGCAGGCAUUCUGGGGUGAUAUAAAAAUUGAAAUAUGGGAGUCUCUGGACCAUGUCCCCAUGCCAUAACUCUUGUGCGCUUCCAAACCCUCUUUCUUACUAACACCAAGGAAACAACGAACAUGUCACUACCUUGCUUAGAUAUUUCCGAUGGUCCCAUCAUCAACAACAAAAGUUGCUCCUUUGCGUGGGAACAUGCCCUUUGUAAUUUACACCCUGCUUUCCUUGCCAGCUUCCUUUCUUCAGACCAUCCAGCUUGCUGCUUCUUGCCCAGCCAUGUGGAGCUAAUGAAGAUGUGCUGUUCCACGCCUCUGUGCCUCUCCACAUGCUGUUCCUUUCCCUGGAGUGCCAACCCUUUCUGCCUGCUGUCCACCUAUCAAACUUCCACUCAUCCUUUACAAACCAGCAUAAGCAUCAGCGCUUUGGGGGUGUGCAAAAAUACCAAUGUGAGAGACCAAAGAUCUGUCCCUGGGAUCUGGUGAGGUGGAAGGCCAGCAGGCUCCCUGUGGAGAUCAGGAGUCCCAGCAAUAUGGUGGCCGCUGGCACCACACAGAGGAGGUCAGUGUGCGAGUCGCUGGCAGCGGACGUAACUCGUGAACCACAGGAAUACUGAAUCCAACGUUCAGUCUCAGAUCUUCCUAAUCCUACACUGUCAGGGACAGACUUUGGGCCCAGUAGCACACUGCCUGUUGUAUUUAGAGAAUAGAGGGGAGGAGGCUGUGUCCACCCUGGAGGAAGAAGAAAGAAAAAGUGAGCAAGCGAAUGAGACAGAGAGAGAGAGAGAGAGAGAGAGAGAGAGAGAGAGAAGCUCCAGAUGAUGAGAGUUGUGAUAAGAGCAGGAAUUUGGAGUGAGAGUAGGGAGGCGUCACUUGGUAUUACCAGGAAGUCCUGGGAAAGGCACGGAAUGUCCCACAGUCCUGUGGGAGACGUGGGUGGGGGUGAUUUAAAUUUUUUGUUUAAUAGAAAGGAAAGGAUGAUCACAGACAGCCUGACAACUAGGAUAGACUCAAGUUACUUGUGUGGGGCAGCGAUACCUCUUCCACCAUCAUCUGACCCCCAUUUGUAUGAUUCACCUGCAUUUGUUUUAUUGUUAAACUCUCUCUGUGUGUUAGUGCCUUCUCUUCCUCAGUAGUUCUGGAUUCUUUGGAGGCUACCAUGGACAGUUUCACUUGAGUUUGGUGGUGCAUACAUAAGGAGUAAUUGGAGAUAAACUGGAAGAAGUUGGCUAGGGCCAGAUCAUUGCAUGGCAUUGCUUGCCAUAUAUUUCAGAAUAGACCACUGUGAACCCCGUGACAUGUUUAUGUGUGAAGUUAGCUUCACAGCUUAGGAUCAGUUAGUAAGCAUUCAAGAAUUAACACUCACAGGAGGCUCUAGCAAGUACUUUCAAUGUCAAUUUUUCAUUGGCGAAAUAGUGGGAUUCAGGACAUGUGGGUUGUAUAAGUACUUGCCCCAUUACACAGUGAGGUGUAAAGACACAGCAUGCUCAGUUGCCCACCCCUGGAGUGCAGCUGUCGGUGGAGAACUCUGCUUGGUCCUCUGCCCCACCCCAGUUCAUCCUUCACAGAGGACUCUCCGACCCCUAUAGACAGCUUGCUGACAGAACUCCUACAGCAUCUGCUUUAGAGUGGAUCUUUCAUGCAGGAUGCUUGCGGGGAGCCACAAAGGACAGAGAACAGGACCUCACUGAGGUUACAGGAGCAGAUUGUAUGACUGUUUCUAUGCCUGUUUGAUAUCGUAGUUUCUACGUUUGGCAGAUCUGAGUGUGGUGCUCAUUGUAACAUUUCCUGUUGCAGGGAGAGGAGCCACCGCUGAUAUUUUCUGAUCAGUGUGCAACACAUGGGUCGUUUUGACAUGUAUGCAAAGGGUGUUUGCAAUCGAAGACACUGACCAUGAAGGCUUUGAAGCAGGGAAUGACAUGGAGAAGGUGAUCUGUGCUGAGAGCGGGAGGCUGGGGCAGGGAUUCAAGUUAGAACCGGAGAGUGGAGCCACGAACCUGGUGACCCGAGCUAGAACUGCUGCAAGGUCAGAAUGCACGGGCUCCCCCGAACUCCUCUGAACCCUGGCACUGGCCAAGGACUUCCUGAGUUAGAGGGGAUGUGCAGGCAAGCCAACUCCUUCCACCAUGACAAAACCACACUUUGAUGAGUCAGGAGGAGAUCCAUCCCAGACACAGAUCACAUUUCCCCUCAUUACAUUUGCCUCCAUGCAUGUGGAGUCGGGUGUUGGAAUUCAGAGAAGGGCAAAUGUGAAAGGCAGCUUGAGCUUCACCAAGAAGACACACUCACAGAAACGACGCUGAAGCAGUGAGCAAGGCUUGGAGCCCCAAACUUUCCCAGAGUGGCCCGGUUCUUCCAGAGGCAGCCCAUUCAUUUUGUCCCUUGUGAGAUCUUUUGUGAGUCUAUUUUAGUGGCCUUUGGAGGCAAUAAGUAUGAAGGAUCCUUUUUAAGAAGAAAUUCACAAAGCUAAGAGGCCCCCUGCAGAUCACUUGGCAAGAUCGGGUGGAGCUAGGCUCAGGACCCUUGCUGAUUUUGGCUCUUCUUCCUCCCUCCUCUCUGGUAUGGUUGGGCAUUCUCUUCCCUUUGGGCUCCCUCCCUGAGACUCAUUUCCCAAGCAUGGCGUCUUCUCAGAUGGAGGCUAUACCCUUUCUGAUCAAAACUCAUGAGCUGUGCAGUGCACUAGGUAUUGCUUCCCAGGGUGGGUUUUCAAAAUACCCAGAAAAUGAAUAGGAAUAAAUAGGCUCAGGAACAGCCUGGUGCCCCCUGCUCCCUUUCUCUCUUCUUUCUUUUAGUCCCCUUCCUUCCCCUUCCCUUCUCUACCCUCCCCUUCCCUCUCCUUCUCUCUUCUUCCCUUCCCUUCCCUCCCACUCUUGCUCUUCAAGUUAGGCUUACAGGAUGGAGUGGAAAAACCUUUAGAAAUCUUUAGCACAUGGCUCUUUCUCAGUUGUCAGGUAGGUGAGGACAUUUGGAGACCAAGGCUCAGGCCAUCUUUCAAUGCCUUUUCAUGUUCAGUGCCCAGCGAUUCUUUUCUCUCAAGACCUCUACCUCUCUCUAUUCACAGUACUGUUGUGAGGAAAGAGAGUUGAUACUUGUGAAUAACAACAAUUAUUAAAAUAGUUUACCAUGAUUGAGUGGAUAGUCUGUGCCACGCAGGUGCCAGGUACUUCACACAGAACAACCCAUUCAAUCCUCAUAGCUCUUUGAGAUAGCAACUACAAUCUCCCCAUUUUACAGGUGAGGAACCUGAGAUUUAGGUCAAAAUAUUUGCCCAAAGUCAUUUUAGUUGGUUAAAAGGUGGCCCCAAAAAGAUGUGUCCAAACCCCUUAGAUCUGUGAAUAUGACCUUGGUUGGGAAACGAGUCUUUGUAGAUACAAUUAAGUUGAGGAUCUGGGGAUGAAAUUGUACUGAAAAACAAGAAUGGGCCCUAAUCCCAAUGAUAAGUCUCCUUAUAAGAGACAAAAGGAGAAGGCCACGUUAAGACAGGGUUAGAGACUGGAGUGAUGUGGCCACAAGCUAAGGAAUGUGGACAGCCACCAGGAGCUGGGAGAGGCUGGAAAAGGUUCUCCCCUUGAGCCUUCAGAGGGAACAUGGCCCUGCUGACACCUGGAUUUUUUGGACUUACGGUUUCUAUAACUGAGAAAGAAUGAGUUUCUGCUGUUUUAAGCUACCCAGUUUGUAAUAAUUUGUUACAGCAGCCCUAAGAAUCUAAUUCAGUCAAAUAGCUGGCUCGUAAGUGGUGAAACAAAGAUACUAUCAAUAUUAAAGCUGUUAUAAUAACCAAAUUUAUUUUAUUUUUGAGAUAAGGUCUCACUCUGUCACCCAGACUGGAGGGAAGUUGCAUGAUCAUGACUCACUGCAGCCUCAAUCUCCUGGACUUAGGUGAUUCUCCCACCUUGCCUUCAGGGUAGCUGGGACUAUAGGCACAUGCCACCAUGCCCAGCUAAGCUAAUUUUUUGUAUUUUUGUAGAGAUGGGGUUUCAUCAUAUUGCCCAGGCUGGUCUUGAACCCCUGGGCUCAAGCAAUCCACCUGCCUUGGCCUCCCAAAGAAUUAGGAUUACAGGCGUGAGUCAUUGCACCCAGCCAAUAACCAAAUUUCAACAAGUCAUUAUAGAAAAAUAAUGAAUAACAUACAAAAAGAAUUAUUAUAUAUUAUCAGUUGAAAGGAGCAUGCUAAGAAAGAAAGAAACUGAGAAAGAAAGAAAGGGAAAUAAAGAAAAGGAG